GAAAAUGUAAGUUUGAAGCAGCUUUGAGAGAGGUGCUGGGGCCUUCAUCCUCUUAAAAACUCAGGCACGCCUUCUCCAGCAACUGAACUUUAACUCAUCCCAGCAUGGGUUCAAGCAUUAAAAGCCAUUUCAGCUUUUCAUUUGGAUAAGGAACUUGAUGGAAUGUAUCUGGAGUUUGCUUGGGCCAUGCUGCCUGGACUACGAAGGCAUGGGGCUGCCUCACCUCUGCUUCAGGGAGAGAAUGGGGUCACUGGGAUGCAAUCACAGCCUAUAAAUCCUGCAAAAGUGCUUUUCUCCCUUGGCAUACGAAGGGCCGACCCUGCAGAAACUCUGGAGACUGGAAGUGAGGAGGAACGGGCGCCACAGCGAGACUGGCGUGAGAAUGGAAGAAAACUUCUGCAAAGUGGGAGGUGAACAGCUUUUUGAAGUACUCGGCUCUUAUUUCAAGAAAGGGGAAUUCCUUGCAUUUUCAUACAAUACCCAACUAAUUAAACAAAGCUGCUGCAGAUUACAGCAGCGCAGCUCCUUCAGAUACCUCAACAGCUGUGCACGGAGUCCUUUAAAAUCCAAAGCAUGCUGUUUCUGUUAGUCAGAAUAUUUUCAUCUUUGCUAUACUCCAUUCUAAGCUCCACCCAUCCACUACCCAGUAAAUUUCCCUGCCCUUUUGGCAGGAAAUGGGAAAUGAUCACAGAAUCACACAAUCAGUCAUAGGAGUUGGAAGAGACCUCUGGAGAUCGAGUCCACCGCCCUGCUGCUAAAGCGGGUUUGCAACAUCAGGUUGCACAGGCAGGCAUCCAGACAGGUCUUGAAUAUCUCCAGAGAAGGAGACUCCACGACGACAUCUGUUAACUUUUACAAACAUGCUGGAAAAAAAAAUAAUGAUAAGAAAUAAGAAAGAUUAGCUCUUUGAUUUCCCAUCCUUAUGCAAGAACUGCUUAUUCUCUGCACUUCCAAUCUCAAUAUCUUGUUGGAUUUCUGCUGGGCCAACAGGUGGAGAUGGCACACAGAUCCCCAGUGAUGUGCUCUGUCCAGGCUAAGUCUGGGUCUGGAAGUUGCCAGAUUUAAGAAUGAGUUUGCUACAGACAAAGACUCUGUUCACCUGAAGGUCUCAGCAGGAACUGGAGGUUCCCUUCACACGUACAAGAUGCUACUGACAAGACGAGGCCUGCAUCCUGCUCAGGAGAACACCUCAGUGCCUUCCACUGGAGAUUCUAUGAUUCUGUGACAACGAAUUCACUCACUACUUCCCAUCAGCAGGCAGAUGCUCAGCCACUUCCAAAGAGGUCAGCCGUGUUUCAAACCACUGGAGAAGCUGCAGCUGCAGAAAGUGCUCUGCACCAAGGGAG
ensembl:lncRNA